GUGGUCGCAGCAGCAGGUAAUCUGAGCCCCGGGUUCGAGGUCCGACGCGCCCCAGCCCGCACCAGAGAUCGAUGGACACCUCUCCCCGCUGCCGCCGCCGCGCUCACUCUGCCCGCGCGUGGCCUCGGUAGCUCUCGCCGUGGAGUGGGGAUGCCCGGGGCACGGCGAUGACUCCGGGCACUGUGGUGCCACCAGCGCUCCGAGUUUCCGGGAAACCCGAGGGGCCGCGGCCCGCCCGGGGGCGGCUCUCGCCUAACCUUCGCUGUCUGGGACCCGCGGGCGCCUCCGCCGUAGGGGGACCUUGGCUUCGGGGCCCAAGGCCUGCGGGGUCGCAGCCGUCGGGCUGGGGCGGCCUCAGGACGCCCGAGAAGGAGGCGGGGAGAGGGCGGAGAGGGCGCGGCGGGGAAGGAGCCACGAUUCCCCGCCCUUCCCGCAGGUGCCCGGAGCCGUGGGCGAGGAGCCGGGAGUCGGGCGAGGGCGCAAGGUCAGGAGGGACUGGUCGAUGCCCCUUAGCGCUGUCCCUUCCAUCGGCCCGGUUUCGUCGUCUGCGCGGAGCUGCCCUCCACAGCCUGCUCUUUCCCUUUAAGUCCACGCAGCUCAAGCCUCACGGUCCGCCGGCCACAAGAUCCAACUAGAAUUAUCUACCUAGUUGCUUUUCGUUGUCUUUGUAUUAUAGUUAUCUCCCAUUUAGAGGCGCUUGGAUCUCGCCUGCUGGGGUUCGAACCCUCGCUCUGCCACUCUCUAACCCUGUGCUGGUGGGGCAGUGACGUAACCUCUCCAUGUCAACGUUUCCUCCAUGUGACAUGGUAAUAGUACUAGCACCCACCUGCUUAGUCGUAGGACUAAAUGCAAAUGCCAGCGCCCACUAGAUAGGAUCGAUUGUUUUUUCAUGGCAAGAGAUACGGAUUUGCCAUUUAUGCUGUUUAUAAGUUAACUUUUAAAUAAAUGUACUUAAGUUUAUUUUCAGAAGUCCAUCCAAAUGAAACUAACUGAAUAGAAGGAAACGCUAGACUCCAGAUGUUGCUCUACGAAAGGAUUCCGCCAGACUUGGGCCCUGUGAUCCAGUAGCUACCUGCAGAAAUUUGUCCGAGGUACACUGGCACAUGUGCAGGAGGAGGUAUGCACACGGAUGUUUACUACAGCACUGAAUAUAAAGGUCGGGGAUUGGAUUCAACCCACAUAUCUCUCCACAGGACCCUGGUGUAAUAAGUGGUGGCACAUAUAUGCUGCCAAAUACUAUGCACCAGUGAAAAGGAGCAAGAUAUUUACUGUAUGAAUGCUUACCUCGAAUUAAAAAAAUCUAAAAACAAAUAA